rnacentral:misc_RNA from 1 species
UUUUCCGGGGAGUAUGCCUGUUUGAGGGUCGUUGAAAUAAUAAUCGAAUUUUUGUUACCCUUGUAGCAACAUUUCGGAAUUGAACCAUCUUGUAUCUUUGAUAUUAAGAGGCUUAAAAUUGAAUCAUUUUGGUAUGAUUUGAGCGUACUUAAAAAAAAAUUUCUUUAUUGCGCUUGGUGAAUAUCGAACGUUUUAUUAGGAUGACCAUUGAUCAUGGUUUUAUGCCUAUAAUCAUCUUUGAUUUCGACCUCAAAUCAGGUAGGAAUACCCGCUGAACUUAA